CCCCCAAAAUGGAAAAUGGUUAACCCAAAAAUGAGGCAAAACAGAGAGUUUGGGAUUUUCUUUAUUGGGAGCUUCCCCUCUCUGUUCGGCCAUUGAUUUUCCUCCAUUAUCAAACAACCAACAGACCCCGUGUUCUAUGAGUAAAUGGAAAAUUGAUUUAACUUGUACAUGCUGUCUUCUCUCGUCGAUAUGUCUUUGGGGAUUUAGAUUCAAAUUUAGUGUGUCUGACAACCUAGAAAAAUUAGGGUUAUAGCUGCCGAUAACUGGACCGCCGCAUUCUUUGUGUGUGGAUGGAUAGUACAUAAAGAGGCAGUGAUGAUGGUGUUUCUAUUUUCUUGGCUAACCAAUGCCGGCGUUGAGAUUACGGACCCGUAUCUUGGUAUGGCAACUUGGUAUGGCUUGUGGCUGAGAUUUCUCUCUCCCAUGCAACCUAUGUUUGCAGCCAUGGCGUGGUUGGCUUCUCUUAUGCCUCAUCAUUUGACACAUCUGAGGUGCCAGAAAAGUCGAUGCCCCAGAGACAAAUCUGAGCCACCAGUUGAAAGCAAAGUAUUAACAGUAGUAGUAGUGUUUGGAUUUUGGACACUUGGUCUUAUUUAUGCUUACUUGGUCAGAAGUUUCUGCAGUAUGUAUACAUAUCUCUUGCUCUCUCUCUCUGUAUAUAUAUGCAUGUGGGAAGAAGGGUUCAGGGGUUUAAGAUUUGACCCUUUUUGUUGCUACUUCUUUCUUUUUCUUCUUCAUGAUCAUCAUCAUCUAUGGCCGGUAUUGAAUCCUUGAAAUGGGUUUAUGGCCUUUGUUGAUAUUAUUAUUACUAUUAUUGUUGUUGCUGCUGCUGUUGCUCUUACUGUUGCUAUUACAGAUGAUAGGCUAUGAUGAUUAAGGUGUCUAAGUAGGGGAGCUGGGCCCGUAGCUUGGCGGGGCGACUCGGAAGGUACUAUUUGUAGUGCAACUGAUGUAUGCAGCCAUGGCGGAUGUGUUGUCUCCUUUGCCCUGAUUAUACUGAUCUGAGCAUUAUAAAAUACCACAAAAAGGGUAUCCAUAUACACAUACACCUUUCUAUAUAUAUACAAUACAGGAAGAGGGGUUUAGGAUUUAAGAUCUUACCCUUUUGCUGCUUCAUCAUCAUCGUUGUCUUCAUUGGCAUCUCCUCCGCCCCCACCCCACCACAAUAUAUGGCCAGAAAUGAAUCCUGAAAAGGGGUUUUGCCAUGGUUGAUAUUGUUGUUAAUUGUUAUUAUUAUUAUUAUUAUUAUUGUUGCUGCUCAUGUUAUGGCUGAGAGGCUGGGAUGAUUGAGGUGUCUCUACAGUUCAUGGGUUAAGGGAUCUGGGUCGGUAUCUUGGCGGGACGACCCGGAAGGCACUGUUCAUAGUGCAACCGAGGUCUGUAGCCAUGGCAGAUGCAUUCUUCCCUUUGCCCUGUUUAUAGUAAUCUGAGCCUUAAUGAAGCCCUGAUUGUUUAUAAGAACAUCACUUUCCUUUUCUGGCAACUCCUUAAAUCGACCUUUUCACAUGACAUGUUUAUGUUUGACCACAAGAUUAAAUCACAUUUUGUUAGAUUCUACAUAUUUUGUUUAUGACCAAGAUUUAUCUUUUUAAAGUCCGUGGCAAGUAAAAACUAGACAAACAAAUUUUAACAGACUUCAUGUGGAUAGUGAGGCAAGAACAAGAGAUGCCUCAUGACGCCGCCGUCACUCUCUCGGCUUCGACUUCGGAUUUGGAUUUGGAUCGAGAGAUUAAUUUUUUGGACAAAAUUUAUUCGAAAGUUAAAAAUAAGUGAAAUUUUAAUCCACAAAUCCAAUAGAAAUAUUUUUCUCCAUUUCCAGACGCACUUUGGACGCAGUGCGAACGCAGUCGCAACACACCCCAAUGGGAUGCAACCCUUCGAGGUACAAGACGUACUGGUUGGGGUAGAAACGCGACCUGCGCGUGCACCUAGCGACCUGCGGGCGCAAGUCAAGCAUAGACCUCACUGGAAAGUGUCAAACGUCAUCUGCGGCUGCAGGUCUAGCGCAGACCGGAUGCAGGUGACAUGACUGUUCCAAAAUGUUCUCUCUUUUCAUGAACCAUUGCUUCUUUUUCGAAGGGACACUUUAUGGCUAUAAAUACCUGAACCUUUUCUAGGUGAAGGCAUGAUUUUGAGUUGAAAAACAUCUAUUUGUUCUUCUAAAGAACUCUCGUGUGAUCAUCAAAUCGUUGAGUGAGUUCGAAGUUCGAAAAAAUUUAAGGCACCACUGUUUUCUGAAAGUGAAUCAUUAACGUCGGAUACUUGAUUGUAAGCAUCAUUGCUGGUGCUUGUAUGUAGGCUGUGAUGAUAUUGCUUAUUGAGUUAAUUGGGUUUUGGUCAAGGGAAGCCACGUCUUGGAAGGGCAAACUAAAAAGUGUUGCCAGUGGAGUAACCAGUAUUGGAUUGUAGUAUGUUAUUAUUCUGGUUUGCAGCCAUGGCAGUGUUCGUUUCCUUUACCUGAUCUUCUGAUUUAUCUGAGCAUACUUAUGUACUCUACGAAGAAUAGUCUAUCAGAGUGAAAAUAAGUAAAACAAAUUAGAAUAUGGCAGCAUUGUGAUGGACAGUUUCUAAAAUUGGUUAGCCCCCCAUCUGAAUGCCAAUGAUUCUCAAUGAUCUGCUCCUAUCAUUGCAACCAUUCUUUAAAUGCUUUACUAUUUUGUCAUAAUGCUUUUCCUUUCAAAAUCACAAUUAUAAGAGCAGUAUUAUUGAUGCCUAUGUGUAGGAUGUGAUGAUAAAGUUCUUGAGUUUAUGUGUUUCGGUCAAUCCAUCGGGACCUGUAUCUUGGUGGUGCAUGUGGAACCAUUUACCAAGGAUGUAUUAUAAGCAAUAGAUUAUAGGUAUUAGACUGGAACAGAUUUAAAUGGAGUGAUAUCUAUAUUAAUGAUUUAUACGGUUGAUCCUAAUUCCUAAUACUUGUAUGCUAUCAUGGUUUGCAGCCAUGGUGGUGUUCUACUCACCUCUCUCUUUAUGUAUAUAUUGUUGUGUUUGGGUUGUCAUGAUAAGUUUCUUGAUCUAUGGAUAGAAUAAGUUAUUCUUGCCUUAGCAAUGUAAAUUUGACCUUUGGGAAAGAUAUAUUCUUGAAGUUGUUCCUCUCUGGCUAAUGUUUACUGAUUCAGGUGUUUUUCACCAGUGCAACUUUAGCUCAACUGGCGCUCUUAUCGAAGAGAAGUUCACGGUUCUUGACAGUGUUCAACAAUUUGAAAUUCUUGAAGUUAAGCAAUGAAUUAAAAUGCUGAUAGAAAGUAACUCAUCUUCCCCGCGUGAUUGCUUUAAGGUAGUGACCUGCAUUUUAGUCCAUGGCUUGCCUUCAAGAACGUCAAUUGUGGAUAUGCUUGUUUAUGGUAAACUUAUACUGUCGAAGAGAAGUGGCCAAGCUUAAAAAGUAUUCUUACACUGUGAAGCUCAAGUUUGCGAGCAAUUCGAUAAACAACUAGAGUGAUGUGAACCUUUUCUUAAGCUCUUUAGAAUGGAAUGUCAAAUCAAGCUUCUACUUUGCUGUAUAUUGUAGAAAGCAAGCUUAAAAAGUAUUCUUACACUGUGAAGCACAAGUUUGCAAACAAUUCGACAAUUUAUGGCCGGCGUUGAAUCCUGAAAUGGGGUUUUUGCCGUGGUUGAUAUUGUUGUUGUUGUUGUUGAUGAUGCUAUGGCUGAGAGGCGGUGAUGAUUAAGCUGUCUAGAAUUCAUGGGGUAAGGGAGCUGUGUCCGUGUCUUGGCGAUGCAACCCGGUAGAUCUAUUUUAUAGAGCAACCGAGGUCUGUAGCCAUGGCAGAUGUGUUGUCUCCUUUGCUCUCAUUAUGUAAACCUGAACCUUAAAAAUCGGAAGUUUCUGCAGUAUGUAUGCAUACACUUAUCUACCUAUCUCUCUCUCUCUCUCUCUCUCUCUCUAUAUAUAUAUAUAUAUGGGAAGAAGGAUAUAGGAUUUAAGAUUUGAUCCUUUUGCUAGUUCUUUUUCCUCUUAAUCAUCAUCAUCUAUGGCCGGUGGUAAAUCCUUGAAAAGGGUUUUUGCCAUGGUUGAUAUUAUUAUUGUUGUUGUUGUUACUACUACUACUUGUGUCUAGAGUUCAUUGGGCAAGGGAGCUGGGUCCGUAUCUUGGCGGGGCGACCCGGAAGGUACUAUUGGUAAUGCGACCGAUGUCUGCAGCCAUGGCGGAUGCAUUGUCUCCUUUGCUCUGAUUGUGCUGAUCUGAGCCUUAAAAUCAGAAGUUUCUGCAGUAUAUAUACGUAUUCUCAUUCAUCAUGCAUCUCUCUUUAUAUAUAAUAGAGGAAGAGGGGUUUAGGGUUUAAGAUCAUACCCUUUUACUUCUUCUUCGGAGUUAUGAUCGUUGUCAUCUUCAUCUCCUCCACCCCCACCACAUAUAUGGCCGAAAUGAAUCCUGAAAAGGGUAUUUGCCAUGGUUGAUAUUGUUGUUGUUGUUAUUAUUGUUGUUGUUAUGGAUGAGAGGCUGUGAUGAUUAAGGUGUCUAGAGUUCAUGGGGCAAGGGAACAAGGUGGCGGAUGCAUUGUUUUCUUUGCCCGCAUUAUGUAAAUCUGAGCCUGAAAAUCAAAAAGUUUCUGCAGUAUGAUAGAGAUACAUCUCUCUCUCUCUCUCUCACUUUGUGUGUGUGUGUGUGUGUGUGUGUGCGCACGCGCGUAUACAUACAGGAAUGAAGGGUUCAGGGUUUCUUCAUCAUCUACGAAUCCUUGAAAAGGAAUUUUGCCGUGGUUGAUAUAAUUGUUAUUACUAAUUUUAUUGUUGAUGUUGCGAAUGAUAGGCUGUGAUGAUUUAAGGUCUCUAGAGUUCAUGGGUCAAGGGAGCUGUGCCCGUAGCUUGGCGGGGCGACCAGGAAGGUAUUGUUUGUAGUGCAACCAGUGUCUGCAGCCAUGGUGGAUGCAUUGUUUACUUUGCCCUAGUUAUACUGAUCUGAGCCUUAAAAAGUACCCCAAAAAGGGUAUACAUAUACACAUGCAUCUCUCCAUACAUCUCUCUAUGUAUAUACAUUUCUCUUCAUCAUCAUAUAUGGCAGACAUUGAAAUCCCUGAAGAGGGUCUUUGCUGUGGUAGAUAUUGUUGUUGUUGUUCAUUGUCAAAAAAAAAAUAAUUGUUGUUGUUGACAGUGGCGGAGCCAGGAUUUUCAUCGAGGGGGUUUAGAAGUAUAUAUACGAACUAGUAGAAGGGGGUUCAACAUCUACUAUAUAUGCAUAAAAAAUAUUUUAACCAUGUAAAAAUAGUAUAAUUUUCCGUCGAAGGGGUGGCUCCGCCACUGGUUGUUGACUAUGAUAUGGAUGAGAGACAUUGAUGAUUAAGUAGGUGUUUGGCCAUGAAAACCAAAAAAAUUUCACUCUAUUUGGAAUUUUUGGAGUUGUGUUUUGCUAUACAGGAAUGAAGGGUUUAGAGUUUAAAAUCAUUUGACCCUUUUGUUGCUACUACUUUUUUCGGCGUUGGAAUCCUUGAAAAGGGGCUUUUACCGUAGUUGAUAUUGUUGUUGUUGUUGAUGAUGAUAUGGAUGAGAGGCUGUGAUGAUUUAACGUGUCUAGAGUUCAUGGGCAUGGGAGCUGGGUCUGUAUCUUGGCGGGGCGACCCGGAAGUGCAACCUAGGUCUGCAGCCAUGGCAGAUCAUUGUCUCCUUUGCCCUGAUUAUAUUGAUCUGAGCCUUAAAAAACAUGGCAAACAACAUAAAUCCCGAUAGUUUGGAGCUUAAUUAUAGAAAAUCCCGACAUUUUGCAUAAUUACUGAAAAUCCCGAUUUUGGGUCUGUUGAGAUACAUAAUUAGCUCCCGAUACAUUCAACGAAAAUACAUAAUUAGUUGGGAUUUUGUAAUUGCUUUUUAAGGGUGGGGAUUUGUGUAAAUAUGGUAAGGUGUAUGUUAUUUUUUCUAAAAAUGGGCACCAACAGAAAGGGUAUGCAUAUACAUCUAUUUACAUAUAUACAGAGAUCUUAAUGUUGCUGUUACAGAUGUUAGGCUAUGAUGAUUAUGGUGUCUAAGUAAGGGAGUUGUCUCGUACCUUGGCGGUGCGACCCGGAAGGCACUAUUAGUAGUGCAACCGAGGUCUGCAACCAUGGCGGAUCAUUGUCUCCUUUGCCCUGAUUAUAUUGAUCUGAGCCUUAAAAAAUAGGGCAAACAACAUAAAUUCCGACAGUUUGGAGCUUAAUUACAGAAAAUCUCGACAUUUUGCAAAUCCCAAUUAGCUCCCGAUACAUUCAAUGAAAAUACAUAACUAGUUGGGAUUUUUUUAAUUGCUUUGGGUGGGGAUUUGUGUAAAUAUGGUAAGUUAAGGUGUAUGUUUAUGAGAUUUUUUCUAAAAAUAGGCACCCACACAAAGGGUAUACAUAUACAUCUCUUUACAUAUAUACAGAGAUCUUACUGUUGCUGUUACAGAUGAUAGGCUAUGAUGAUUAUGGUGUCUAAGUAAGGGAGCCGUCCCGUAGGCAACCUGGAAGGCACUAUUAGUAGUGCAACCGAGGUCUGCAGCCAUAGCGGAUGCAUAGGGACACUUGACAAUUACAGAAUUGGUCAGUUUUUUUUUCCUGCAAAUCUGAAUUCAGCAUAGGGACAACGGAUGUCAUUUUAAGCUAUUAUGUUAGACCCAACCCGGAGCACAACAACAUUGUAUCCUCAUUUAUGGAUGAUAUGAGAAUGGACCCUUAAAAAUCCAGUUGCUAGAUUUUAACAGCCGAAUGAGGCUGUGAUGAUUAAUUGUCUUGAGUUGGUUUGGCCGUUUGGGGCUGCCUGCAUCUUGGCAAUGCGACCAGGUAAGGCAUUUCCUUUGUUUAGCAUUUUCGCAGCAACUACACGACCUUCAGUCUGUGUCUCCGUCAUGGCUUUGAAAUUAUUAAAGAGGCAGUGAGGAUGAUUUUUCCCUAUUUCUGGCUAACUCAUGGAGAUCACCUACCCAUAUUAUGGUGUGGCGACCCGGUAUGGCCUGUGAUUGAGACGCACAUCUCACACAUGCAAUCGUGUGUUGCAGCCAUGGCGUGGUUGGCUUCUCUUUUGCCUAAUCAAUUUGCUUAAGAAAAUAGGGAAAAGAGUCAAAUUUACCCCUUUACUAUGGAUAAGGGGCAAUGUCUUUUCCAUUAAUCUGGGAGAUAUCAAACCAGCACCCUCUUGAUCUGCAGUUAUAAUGUGGGAGAUAUCAAACUAACGCCCUUUUCUGGGCUAACUAAUUCGGACAUGGAGAUUACCUAACCCGUAUCUUGGCAUGGAAACUCGGUAUGGCCUGUGCAAUAGACUCAUAUCUCACACAUGCAAUCGUGUGUUGCAGCGAUAGCACGUUUGGCUUUUCUUUUGCCUUAUCAUAACAUAAAUCUGAGCCUCAAUUUGCUAAAGAAAAUAGGAAAAAGGAUAAAUUUACACUUCUUUACUUUGCAUAAGGGGCGAUAUCUUUCCCAUGAUUAAUGUGGGAGAUAUUGAACCGACGCCCUUGUGACUAGCAAUUACAAUGAUUUUCACUCGCAAUGUAUUUCCAUGUUUUGGUAACUAACAGCUCAAGAAUGAGGCCAAGUCAGCAUCGAGGUGUAUUUUAUUACAAAGAAAGUGGUACUUUAGGUACGUAAAUGGUAUAAUAAAUAGUUAAGGUAUGAAAGUCGCAAAAAUGUGAUAGUUUAGAUGUGUUUUUUUACCAUUAACUCUUUAUAAAAUAACCUAGGAAAAGGGAGUUUUUUUGCAACUC
rnacentral:lncRNA from 1 species